rnacentral:rRNA from 1 species
UACGGGGGGGGCAAGCGUUGUUCGGAAUUACUGGGCGUAAAGGGCUCGUAGGCGGCCAACUAAGUCAGACGUGAAAUCCCUCGGCUUAACCGGGGAACUGCGUCUGAUACUGGAUGGCUUGAGGUUGGGAGAGGGAUGCGGAAUUCCAGGUGUAGCGGUGAAAUGCGUAGAUAUUCGCAAGAACACCAGUGGCGAAGGCGGCUAACUGGUCCGGUUCUGACGCUGAGGCGCGAAAGCGUGGGGAGCAAACAGG